GUGCUCCCUUUGGCAGCACAUAACCUGAAAUUGAAAUGAUGCAGAGAUUAGCAUGGCCUCUAUGACAGAAUGACAUGCAGAUUCAUGAAGUGUUUUGUAUUUUG
rnacentral:snRNA from 1 species